UACGUAGGGCGCAAGCGUUGUCCGGAAUUAUUGGGCGUAAAGAGCUCGUAGGCGGUUUGUCGCGUCUGCUGUGAAAACCUAAGGCUCAACCUUGGGCUUGCAGUGGGUACGGGCAGACUAGAGUGCGGUAGGGGUGACUGGAAUUCCUGGUGUAGCGGUGGAAUGCGCAGAUAUCAGGAGGAACACCUAGUUGCGAAGGCAGCUCGCUGGGACGUAAC
rnacentral:rRNA from 1 species